GACGAACGCUGGCGGCGUGCCUAAUACAUGCAAGUAGAACGCUGAAGGAGGAGCUUGCUCUUCUGGAUGAGUUGCGAACGGGUGAGUAACGCGUAGGUAACCUGCCUGGUAGCGGGGGAUAACUAUUGGAAACGAUAGCUAAUACCGCAUAACAGUAGAUGUUGCAUGACAUUUGCUGAAAAGGUGCAAUUGCACCACUACCAGAUGGAGCUGCGUCGUAUUAGCUAGUUGGUGGGGUAACGGCUCACCAAGGCGGCGAUACAUAGCGGAACGGUGAGGGUGAGCAGCCAGACUGGGAGGGAGACACGCCCCAUACGCCUUGAGGUGGCAGCCGUAGUGCAUCGGGAGCAAGCGGUGGAAGUCUGAGCGAGCAACGCCGAGGGAGUAAAGAGGGUUGUCGGGUCGGGAAGCUCUGUUGUAAGAGUGGAACGAGUGUGCGAGUGGGAAGUUGAGACAGUGACGGUAUCUUACCAGGAAGGGACGGCUAACUACGUG
rnacentral:rRNA from 1 species